UACGUAGGGGGCAAGCGUUAUCCGGAUUUACUGGGUGUAAAGGGAGCGUAGACGGCCAUGCAAGUCUGAUGUGAAAACCCGGGGCUCAACCCCGGGACUGCAUUUGGAACUGUAUGGCUGGAGUGUCGGAGAGGCAGGCGGAAUUCCUAGUGUAGCGGUGAAAUGCGUAGAUAUUAGGAGGAACACCAGUGGCGGAGGCGGCUUACUGGACGGUAACUGACGCUGAGGCUCGAAAGCGUGGGGAGCAAACAGG
rnacentral:rRNA from 1 species